rnacentral:rRNA from 1 species
UACGUAGGGGGCAAGCGUUGUCCGGAUUUAUUGGGCGUAAAGAGCGUGUAGGCGGCCAGGUAGGUCGGUUGUGAAAACUCGAGGCUCAACCUCGAGACGCCGGUGGAAACCGUAAAGCUAGAGUCCGGAAGAGGAGAGUGGAAUUCCUGGUGUAGCGGUGAAAUGCGCAGAUAUCGGGAGGAACACCCGUGGCGAAAGCGGCUCUCUGGGACGGUACUGACGCUGAGACGCGAAAGCGUGGGGAGCGAACAGG